ACUCCUGCGGGAGGCAGCAGUGGGGAAUUUUGGACAAUGGGCGAAAGCCUGAUCCAGCCAUGCCGCGUGCAGGAUGAAGGCCUUCGGGUUGUAAACUGCUUUUGUACGGAACGAAACGGCCUUUUCUAAUAAAGAGGGCUAAUGACGGUACCGUAAGAAUAAGCACCGGCUAACUACGUGCCAGCAGCCGCGGUAAUACGUAGGGUGCAAGCGUUAAUCGGAAUUACUGGGCGUAAAGCGUGCGCAGGCGGUUAUGUAAGACAGUUGUGAAAUCCCCGGGCUCAACCUGGGAACUGCAUCUGUGACUGCAUAGCUAGAGUACGGUAGAGGGGGAUGGAAUUCCGCGGGUAGCAGUGAAAUGCGUAGAUAUGCGGAGGAACACCGAUGGCGAAGGCAAUCCCCUGGACCUGUACUGACGCUCAUGCACGAAAGCGUGGGGAGCAAACAGGAUUAGAUACCCCAGUAGUCCCAU
rnacentral:rRNA from 1 species